AUUGAACGCUGGCGGCAUGCCUUACACAUGCAAGUCGAACGGUAACGCGGGGCAACCUGGCGACGAGUGGCGAACGGGUGAGUAAUGCAUCGGAACGUGCCCAGUAGUGGGGGAUAGCCCGGCGAAAGCCGGAUUAAUACCGCAUACGACCUACGGGUGAAAGGGGGGGAUCGCAAGACCUCUCGCUAUUGGAGCGGCCGAUGUCAGAUUAGGUAGUUGGUGGGGUAAAGGCCUACCAAGCCUACGAUCUGUAGCUGGUCUGAGAGGACGACCAGCCACACUGGGACUGAGACACAGCCCAGACUGCUACGGGAGGCAGCAGUGGGGAAUUUUGGACAAUGGGCGCAAGCCUGAUCCAGCCAUGCCGCGUGCGGGAAGAAGGCCUUCGGGUUGUAAACCGCUUUUGUCGGGGAAGAAAUCUUCUGGGCUAAUACCUCGUGAGGAUGACGGUACCCGAAGAAUAAGCACCGGCUAACUACGUGCCAGCCGCCGCAGUAA
rnacentral:rRNA from 1 species